rnacentral:rRNA from 1 species
AUUGAACGCUAGCGGGAUGCCUUACACAUGCAAGUCGAACGGAGUGGCGAACGGGUGAGUAAUGUAUCGGAACGUGCCCAGUAGCGGGGGAUAACUACGCGAAAGCGUAGCUAAUACCGCCUACUAUUGGAGCGGCCGAUAUAGGAUUCGCUAGUUGGUGGGGUAACGGCUCACAAAGGCGACGAUCCGUCGCUGGUUUGCGAGGACGACCAGCCACAGUGGUACUGAGACACGGCCCAGACGCCUACGGGAGGAAGCAGUGGGGAAUGUUGGCCAAUGGGGGAAAGCCUGAUCCAGCCAUCCCGCGUGUGCGAGGAAGGCCUUCGGGUUGUAAAGCACUUUUGGCAGGAAAGCGGUACCUGCAGAAUAAGCACCGGCUAACUACGUGCCAGCAGCCGCGGUAAUUC